CAUAUGGAUUCCUACGGGAGGCAGCAGUCGGGAAUUUUGGGCAAUGGGCGAAAGCCUGACCCAGCAACGCCGCGUGAGGGAUGAAGGCCUUCGGGUCGUAAACCUCUGUCGAGAGGGAAGAACGAUCAGCGGGUGAACAGUCCGCUGGUCUGACGGUACCUCCAAAGGAAGCGCCGGCUAACUCCGUGCCAGCAGCCGCGGUAAUACGGAGGGCGCAAGCGUUGUUCGGAAUCACUGGGCGUAAAGCGCGUGUAGGCGGCCUGGCAAGUCGGGUGUGAAAUCCCGGGGCCCAACCCCGGAACCGCAUUCGAAACUGCUUGGCUGGAGUCCCGGAGAGGAAGGCGGAAUUCCCGGUGUAGAGGUGAAAUUCGUAGAUAUCGGGAGGAACACCAGUGGCGAAGGCGGCCUUCUGGACGGUGACUGACGCUGAGACGCGAAAGCGUGGGGAGCAAACAGGAUUAGAUACCCCGGUAGUCCACGCCGUAAACGAUGGGUGCUAGGUGUUGGAGGUAUCGACCCCUUCAGUGCCGUAGCUAACGCAUUAAGCACCCCACCUGGGGAGUACGUUCGCAAGAAUGAAACUCAAAGGAAUUGACGGGGGCCCGCACAAGCGGUGGAGCAUGUGGUUUAAUUCGACGCAACGCGAAGAACCUUACCUGGGUUUGAACUGGAGAGGACAGCCUGUGAAAGCAGGUUUCCCGCAAGGGUCUCUCUAGAGGUGCUGCAUGGCUGUCGUCAGCUCGUGUCGUGAGAUGUGGGUUAAGUCCCGUAA
rnacentral:rRNA from 1 species